UACAGAGGGGGCAAGCGUUGUUCGGAAUUACUGGGCGUAAAGGGCGCGUAGGCGGCCGCCUAAGUCAGACGUGAAAUCCCUCGGCUUAACCGGGGAACUGCGUCUGAUACUGGAUGGCUAGAGAUUGGGAGAGGGAUGCGGAAUUCCAGGUGUAGCGGUGAAAUGCGUAGAUAUCUGGAGGAACACCGGUGGCGAAGGCGGCAUCCUGGACCAACACUGACGCUGAGGAGCGAAAGCCAGGGGAGCAAACGGG
rnacentral:rRNA from 1 species